GAUGAACGCUGGCGGCGUGCCUAAUACAUGCAAGUCGAGCGAACAGACGAGGAGCUUGCUCCUUUGACGUUAGCGGCGGACGGGUGAGUAACACGUAGGUAACCUACCUAUAAGACGGGGAUAACUUCGGGAAACCGGAGCUAAUACCGGAUAAUAUUUUGAACCGCAUGGUUCGAUAGUGAAAGAUGGCUUUGCUAUCACUUAUAGAUGGACCUGCGCGGUAUUAGCUAGUUGGUAAGGUAACGGCUUACCAAGGCAACGAUACGUAGCCGACCUGAGAGGGUGAUCGGCGACACUGGAACUGAGACACGGUCCAGACUCCUACGGGAGGCAGCAGUAGGGAAUCUUCCGCAAUGGGCGAAAGCCUGACGGAGCAACGCCGCGUGAGUGAUGAAGGUCUUCGGAUCGUAAAACUCUGUUAUUAGGGAAGAACAAACGUGUAAGUAACUGUGCACGUCUUGACGGUACCUAAUCAGAAAGCCACGGCUAACUACGUG
rnacentral:rRNA from 1 species